rnacentral:rRNA from 1 species
UACAGAGGUGGCAAGCGUUGUUCGGAAUUACUGGGCGUAAAGGGCGCGUAGGCGGCCAUCUAAGUCAGACGUGAAAUCCCCCGGCUUAACCUGGGGAACUGCGUCUGAUACUGGACGGCUUGAGUAUGGGAGAGGGAUGUAGAAUUCCAGGUGUAGCGGUGAAAUGCGUAGAUAUCUGGAGGAAUACCGGUGGCGAAGGCGGCAUCCUGGACCAUUACUGACGCUGAGGCGCGAAAGCUAGGGGAGCAAACGGG